rnacentral:rRNA from 1 species
GACGAACGCUGGCGGCGUGCUUAACACAUGCAAGUCGAACGGAAAGGCCCUGCUUUUGUGGGGUGCUCGAGUGGCGAACGGGUGAGUAACACGUGAGUAACCUGCCCUUGACUUUGGGAUAACUUCAGGAAACUGGGGCUAAUACCGGAUAGGAGCUCCUGCUGCAUGGUGGGGGUUGGAAAGUUUCGGCGGUUGGGGAUGGACUCGCGGCUUGUCAGCUUGUUGGUGGGGUAGUGGCUUACCAAGGCUUUGACGGGUAGCCGGCCUGAGAGGGUGACCGGCCACAUUGGGACUGAGAUACGGCCCAGACUCGUACGGGAGGCAGAAGUGGGGAAGAUUGCACAACGGGCGGAAGCCUGAUGCAGCAACGCCGCGUGCGGGAUGACGGCCUUCGGGUUGUAAACCGCUUUCGCCUGUGACGAAGCGUGAGUGACGGUAAUGGGUAAAGAAGCACCGGCUAACUACGUG